rnacentral:lncRNA from 1 species
UAGAAUUUAUUUUUUAUAAAAUUAACUCAAAAAUACUCUGAUAUCAAUGGAAAUUAUAAGUACAGCAUGGAGUAUAAACCGUAAAAAUGCCAGACAAAUGGAGAAACACAAACUCUACUUUUUUUCCAUGCAAGUUCACCGAUCAUUUAAAAAAAACAGAGAGACCUUCAUUUAUUCUAAGCAAAGGUCCUAUUUUUCCAAGCUUUUACAAUUCUAAUCAUGAGAAGAAUGUGGUGACUUUGGGAAGAUAGUGAGAUCCAUAACACCUCAAAUUAUUUAUUUAUUCUAAUCUCUGAAUCUGACAGGACUGAAACACUUUAACAUACUUUCCAACCAUAUAUAGUGGUAGUUUCAAGCUUUGCAAGAGCACAUCGGUCUAAUUUCUUUCCAUUGUUAAAUAUUUGUUGGAUGGAUGUUGACUCGUACAUGUUAAAGAGGAUGUGGUCUCCGACCGGGAAAUGGUCGACGGCUCAUCGCGAACGGAUAUCCGCCAUGUCUUUCUAUGCUUGCCCUAAUUGCUUCUCUGCCUUGUUCUAUCAAUGAAGGCUUAUCAGUACUGCUUCGAAAAUUAUAGGCUUUAGGCUGUUCUUCAGCCACCAACUUUACCAUAAAAAACUCAACAACCAAGCGAGCCCCAAAGCUCCAAAUCAAGAACAAAGCAAACAGUGAAAUACAGAACAAUACUUUGAAACUAGCCAUUUCAGAUCUCUAAUCAGCGUUACUGAUCUUCUGCAUGAACGCUUCAACGCGGGUCCUAU